AUGAAUGAUGUCAUUCUUUCGCACGAACUCACAGAAAUAUCUUCCUACGAAGCGCGUUCUUCGUACACUGUUGUUUUCUUUUGACUUCGGAACAACAAAGAAUUUCUACUACAGAAACAUGUCAUAAAGACAAAUAAUAGCGGUAUAUGUGGCGACAACUGCCUUUUGAAUGUGUCAAAUCUUCCACAGAGAUGUAGCAUGAUCGACGUUUCCAGUUUCAUCAUGGGAUUUUAUCGGCUUCAGAUACUCGUUUUUUUUUUUUCUUAACACAUUCUACAGCUAUCUUCUGUGCAAGGAUUUCACAAUCAUAACCGUCGAAAUAUGAUGUAACUGUCAAGAGUCCAAGAGAUGCUACACAUCAUGAUCCGAUCUGGUUGAAGACACGAACCCACAUCUGUAGGCUGACUCUCCAUCAUUAUUACAACCUGAAGAAGUCGUUAUUCAAAGAGAGAAACUAAAUUUAAUUUGUAGCAGACACUGAGACCGGUCUACGACCAGUAACUUUCCCAUGACAUUCUUACCUUCUUU